ensembl:lncRNA
AGGAGUCAGAUGGUCCAGUUUCCUCUUUGGGAUUUUACUCAGAAGCUGCUCAGUAAGAAAUACAGAAGGAGUCAUAAAUGCUGAACCUAGAAGUGCUUCAUUGCACUCUUCUUUCCGAUGCAGAGGUGCCAGCUGCCAGGCCAAGAGCUGGAGCGGCAUGGAGACGGCAGGAAAAAGAAGCAGCAGUAUGGAGGAGUGGAUAUGGAUGUGGAAACGGAUCCAUUCCCAUCUGCUUCACAGACCCCACAUCCCAUCUUCUAAACUGGAAAUUUUAUGUCUACCCAUGGACCGUUUAAUCUGGAAUAGAAAGAAAAUGAAACCCUAAUAUCAGACCCUCCUACAGGAUGCUGACCUCCAUUUUGACUGGCACAACAACAACGUAAACUGUUAUAGCGAGGACCAACAUCCAGUGUCUUCAAUCCAAAGUGCGGUGUGCUCAUCUCUGCUUCAAUUAAAGCCGGGCAAUUAGCACGGCCCUGCAGUAACGCCGCACAGGCACCAGCUGGCGCAAUAAAUUAUGGCUCUGGAAUUGAUUUCCCCAACAAGCUGCGGCGUGCAGCAGCACAGGCUGGAGGCCGGCCAGAUCCAGUGUUUCCAGUCCUGGAGAGUGAUAAAUGAUGAACACCUCUGCUCCUACCUGUUGGCUUUUAUUAAGUCCAGAAAGCUACUUCAGUGAAUAUUAUCAAGUUUGCAAAGACAAGCAUGCCGAUGGCAGGAAUGGGAGGAAGCCUCUCUUCAUCCAGCUUCCAAUGCAUAUGCAGUAGCAUUCAAAUAUUGAGCGUGAAGCCGCUGUAGCACUUAAGCAGUGGCCUCCGGGUAUUUACACGGGCUGAAAGCCUCAUGACUUCCUGACAGCCUGGCGGACUAAGGGCUCCACCAGGUGGGAUCUCCUGAUGCUGAAGCGUUCCUAACAGAGCUAUGCCAGAGCCUUAAAAUCUGCGCUCCUCCUGAGCCUCAGUUCCCACCACUCCUGUUGGCUCUGCAUGGUGUGGAAGCAGCCAAAGGCUGGUCCCAGGGUGAGCCUUCAAUUAGGAACUUGGUAAAUCUGCUCCACAACCACAGUGUUUCGGUUGGUCUUAUUCUUGAAUACUGUGGGGCAACACUAAACUUUGUGUGAGGCAGAGUGCACACAUCGCCCACAGUGCCCAGUAUGCCUCCUUGUUUACCAGUUCUAAUAUAGCAAGAGAAUCACGGAAUCAUAGAAUGGCCUGGGUUGAAAAGGACCACAAUGAUCAUGUAGUUUCAACCCCCCUGCUAUGUGCAGGGUUGCCAACCACCAGACCAGGCUGCCCAGAGCCACAUCCAGCCUGGCCUUGAAAGCCUCCAGGGAUGGGGCAUCCACAGCCUCCUUGGGCAACAAGAGAAACAUUACAUUUUGGUUUUGAUCUUAGGCCUCUUUGAAAAUAGUGCAAGAGAGGCAUUUGGGAAAGGCCAAUAUUUACAUCUGGCAACCAAAACACUAUGCACGACCAAACCAAACGGCAAACCCUCCUGUCAGCCGUUCUAUGGCUCAGAGUCACACUUCAUUAAAUCAUCUUUAUUUCAAUAUUUUAUCAAAGACAUAUAUGGUUUCCCAAUUAUGUGUAUAUUUUUGUAAAAUUAUCGUUUUCAAUUUAGUUGAUUACACGUUGCAGAAGGGAAGCUUUUCUCCUCAAACACCAUAUGUGCUUAUCAAAGCCAAAAACCUAAGGGCAACAGUAAACAGGAGCGGCACUGUUCUUGAAGAACUGUUAAAUCAGUUCUGAGGCUUUACAUUUCUGUUUGCAAUAAGAAAACUUUUAGUGAACUGCGAAUGAAUUAAUCAUAACCAUGUUUGGCUUUAUUCUUCAACUCAGUUUUAGUUUGAAAAAUCAUUGAUUUGCAUUUAUAAAGGAACAAAAAAUGUUUUCAAAGAGACUAUUUAAAGAAGACCGAACUUGUCUCCCACACUUAGUAUGUGAAAGCUCUCGCUGUUGAUGUUGGUAUUUCUGUAUGAAUAGCAUUAAUCAUCCAUAAACACAAAUCUGCACUCACACAGGUUUGAAUGUGCUGUGCAAUUAUGGCACACAGAGCAUUUCUAAAGCUUUUACCACUGCUACUGCCCUGAUGAUUUUAAGAUAACGAGGAUUUAAUUACACAAAAAAUAAUUUUCAGUCAUAUGUAGCUGUGCAUUUUCAUUGCAAUCCGUGAGAUUAAUCUUUUAUCUUACAGGAUGCUGCUGAAAAAUUCUAUUAAUAAAUGAAGACAGAAUUGUCUUGUC